AUUGAACGCUGGCGGCAGGCUUAACACAUGCAAGUCGAGCGGAGAUGAGGUGCUUGCACCUUAUCUUAGCGGCGGACGGGUGAGUAAUGCUUAGGAAUCUGCCUAUUAGUGGGGGACAACAUUCCGAAAGGAAUGCUAAUACCGCAUACGUCCUACGGGAGAAAGCAGGGGAUCUUCGGACCUUGCGCUAAUAGAUGAGCCUAAGUCGGAUUAGCUAGUUGGUGGGGUAAGGGCCUACCAAGGCGACGAUCUGUAGCGGGUCUGAGAGGAUGAUCCGCCACACUGGGACUGAGACACGGCCCAGACUCCUACGGGAGGCAGCAGUGGGGAAUAUUGGACAAUGGGGGGAACCCUGAUCCAGCCAUGCCGCGUGUGUGAAGAAGGCCUUAUGGUUGUAAAGCACUUUAAGCGAGGAGGAGGCUACUGGGACUAAUACUCUUGGAUAGUGGACGUUACUCGCAGAAUAAGCACCGGCUAACUCUGUGCCAGCCGCCGCAGUAACAC
rnacentral:rRNA from 1 species